rnacentral:lncRNA from 1 species
UUUCUUGCGAUGUUAUUUUAAUUUAACUUAAACUACAUUACGCUAUGUUUUAUGCAAUAAAACAGUAAAGAGGUUUUCUGUAGGUGAAUUUUUACCUACGUCAUUCGCGCGUUUGUCAAAUUGACUGAUGUGUAUGUGUACAUAGAGUGAGGUUAAUUUUGGGUUUAUUAUUGUUGAAUAGAUAAGUUUAUUUUGGCAGAGAAGAGAAAACGAGGAUAAACCUUUCUUGCAGAAGAAAAAGACAAGCUAGUGAAAUUGCUGACGUCUCAUAGAGACACAAUAUUAAACAAAAAACGGAUGGGACCACGAACGAAGCCAAAAACAAAGCUUGGAUCCAGUCACAAAUAGUUUUAAUGCGACAGGAACCCUUUAGAGUUUCAGGUGGUGCGAGAAAUUGGAAAGACGUGUAAAAACAUGCUGCGCCCAGCCCACCUCAAAUUGAAUUGGUGCAGGAGGAUGAUGAUAAUGUUUGGUACAUCAUAUGAGGACUAAUAUUAAAAUAUUUGUUUAC